rnacentral:rRNA from 1 species
CCUACGGGAGGCUGCAGUGGGGAAUAUUGGACAAUGGGGGGAACCCUGAUCCAGCCAUGCCGCGUGUGUGAAGAAGGCCCUCGGGUUGUAAAGCACUUUCAGUGAGGAAGAACGCCUGGUGGUUAAUACCCAUCAGGAAAGACAUCACUCACAGAAGAAGCACCGGCUAACUCCGUGCCAGCAGCCGCGGUAAUACGGAGGGUGCGAGCGUUAAUCGGAAUUACUGGGCGUAAAGCGCGCGUAGGUGGCUUGAUAAGCCGGUUGUGAAAGCCCCGGGCUCAACCUGGGAACGGCAUCCGGAACUGUCAAGCUAGAGUGCAGGAGAGGAAGGUAGAAUUCCCGGUGUAGCGGUGAAAUGCGUAGAGAUCGGGUGGAAUACCAGUGGCGAAGGCGGCCUUCUGGACUGACACUGACACUGAGGUGCGAAAGCGUGGGUAGCAAACAGGAUUAGAUACCCUGGUAGUC